AGCGAACGCUGGCGGCAGGCCUAACACAUGCAAGUCGAGCGCCCCGCAAGGGGAGCGGCAGACGGGAGAGUAACACGUGGGAACGUACCCUUUGGUUCGGAACAACCCAGGGAAACUUGGGCUAAUACCGAAUAAGCCCUUACGGGGAAAGAUUUAUCGCCGAAGGAUCGGCCCGCGUCUGAUUAGCUAGUUGGUGAGGUAACGGCUCACCAAGGCGACGAUCAGUAGCUGGUCUGAGAGGAUGAUCAGCCUCACUGGGACUGAGACACGGCCCAGACUCCUACGGGAGGCAGCAGUGGGGAAUAUUGGACAAUGGGCGCAAGCCUGAUCCAGCCAUGCCGCGUGAGUGAUGAAGGCCCUAGGGUUGUAAAGCUCUUUCACCGGAGAAGAUAAUGACGGUAACCGGAGAAGAAGCCCCGGCUAACUUCGUGCCAGCAGCCGCAGUAAAAC
rnacentral:rRNA from 1 species